AUUGAACGCUGGCGGCAUGCCUUACACAUGCAAGUCGAACGGUAACGGGCCUUCGGGUGCCGACGAGUGGCGAACGGGUGCGUAAUACAUCGGAACGUGCCCGAUCGUGGGGGAUAACGAGGCGAAAGCUUUGCUAAUACCGCAUACGAUCUACGGAUGAAAGCAGGGGACCGCAAGGCCUUGCGCGGACGGAGCGGCCGAUGGCAGAUUAGGUAGUUGGUGGGAUAAAAGCUUACCAAGCCGACGAUCUGUAGCUGGUCUGAGAGGAUGAUCAGCCACACUGGGACUGAGACACGGCCCAGACUCCUACGGGAGGCAGCAGUGGGGAAUUUUGGACAAUGGGCACAAGCCUGAUCCAGCCAUGCCGCGUGCAGGAUGAAGGCCUUCGGGUUGUAAACUGCUUUUGUACGGAACGAAAAGCCUUCUUUUAAUACAGGAGGGUCAUGACGGUACCGUAAGAAUAAGCACCGGCUAACUACGUG
rnacentral:rRNA from 1 species